AUGGUUAUAAAAUGGGGACCAGUGAGCAGAGGAUGGGCUCAAGAAGAAGAAUUGAGAGGGGCUUGGUUAACUAUCCCCAACUGGACAUUCUGCUUUUUGCUGUCCCUGGCAUCAGCUAUCAGAAAGUCUCUGUGGUUUGGCCUUCCAGCUGGCCUCCAGAUGCGAAGGCAGAGUCUGAUGGAGACUUGGUGUCCUGAGAACUCCAGAAUGGGCUGUCAGUGCUCUAAUUUUUCAGGAACUCAGUGGUCUCUAUGGAGCCCAUCUGUGGGUCUCACAUCAAGAAACUUCCAGAGACAGAUCUGACUCUGAAGACUGCAGGGCACUGCAAGAACUCGAUGGGUCCCUGAGGCCAGAAAGUGGCAGAGUUCGCAGAGGAAGCCGCCAGGCCCUGGCCCGACCUCCCUCUUGGCUCUUCCUCCCCCGGCCCCCACAGGGCUGUGCGUUUGAUAGUCAGCUGGAAGACCCAGGUGGAUGGUUCAAUCGGUCACGUGGACACGCAGCUCAGCCAAUUAGAAUCUCGCGGCAGUUGAUUCCUAGAGGUGGAAUCCAUUAAACUG
rnacentral:lncRNA from 1 species